rnacentral:rRNA from 1 species
CCUACGGGAGGCAGCAGUGGGGAAUAUUGGACAAUGGGGGGAACCCUGAUCCAGCGACGCCGCGUGAGUGAAGAAGUAUUUCGGUAUGUAAAGCUCUAUCAGCAGGGAAGAAAGAAAUGACGGUACCUGACUAAGAAGCCCCGGCUAACUACGUGCCAGCAGCCGCGUGAAUACGUAGGGGGCAAGCGUUAUCCGGAUGUACUGGGUGUAAAGGGAGCGUAGACGGCGAUGCAAGUCUGAAGUGAAAGGCGGGGGCCCAACCUCCGGACUGCUUUGGAAACUGUAUGGCUGGAGUGCAGGAGAGGUAAGUGGAAUUCCUAGUGUAGCGGUGAAAUGCGUAGAUAGUAGGAGGAACACCAGUGGCGAAGGCGGCUUACUGGACUGUAACUGACGUUGAGGCUCGAAAGCGUGGGGAGCAAACAGGAUUAGAUACCCGGGUAGUC